AUACAAGCCUCUAAACUACCUACAGUUCCUUGAGUCACAGGCUCCAAUUGACAAAGGACAGUUUCGAAAAAGGUCAAAUUCAAUAGCCGUGUUUAGAUCCAGGAGCCUGGGACUCAGGAACUGUAGGUAGUUUAGAGGC